UACGAAGGGGGCUAGCGUUGUUCGGAAUUACUGGGCGUAAAGCGCGCGCAGGCGGCCAUUCAAGUCAGGGGUGAAAGCCCAGAGCUCAACUCUGGAACUGCCCUUGAAACUGUAUGGCUUGAGUAUGAGAGAGGUGAGUGGAAUUCCCAGUGUAGAGGUGAAAUUCGAUAGAUAUUGGGGAAGAACACCGGUGGCGAAGGCGGCUCACUGGCUCAUUACUG
rnacentral:rRNA from 1 species